CACAGUGUGGACUUUAUGGUUAAUAGUACAUCUUAUCCAUUGGAUGGCUGUUUAUUGGCAGUAGGAUCUUCAGGUAGAUGGGUAGCAGGACCUUCAGGUAGAUGGGUAGCGGGACCUUCAGGUAGAUGGGUAGCAGGACCUUCAGGUAGAUGGGUAGCAGGACCUUCAGGUAGAUGGGUAGCAGGACCUUUAGGUGGGUUGGUAGCAGGACCUUCAGCUGGAUUGGCAGAAGGAUAAUUAAGUUCUAUUUCUAUUUAAACAGCAGAGCAGCAGAAGGUGAACAGAAAACACCACAAUAACAGAAACAGAACAGAUCUUUAAUACUGUAUUUAGAGAUCUUCCAUAGGAUGGAAGAAGCUCCUCCUUUCUUCUGAUUAAAUAAUGAUCAGAUCUUAUCCAAGCAUAUGAACAAUGUUUAGAUAAAUCAGUAAUUGGAUCUGGAUUAAAUUAAAAAAUGAGAAACCACUUAAUAAUUAGGAGUUUCUUUGAUUUUACCAAAUUGAAAUCCUCUGGAAUAUAAUCAAGAGGAAGAUGGAUGAU